rnacentral:pre_miRNA from 1 species
UACUCCCUCUGUCCCAAAUUUCUUGUCUUAGAUUUGUCUAGAUACGGAUGUAUCUAAUACUAAAAUGUGACUUGAUACAUCCAUAUCUAGACAAAUCUAAGACAAGAAUUUUGGGACGGAGGGAGUACUUU